rnacentral:rRNA from 1 species
CCCUGAUGUUAGCGGCGGACGGGUGAGUAACACGUGGGUAACCUGCCUGUAAGACUGGGAUAACUCCGGGAAACCGGGGCUAAUACCGGAUGCUUGAUUGAACCGCAUGGUUCAAUUAUAAAAGGUGGCUUUUAGCUACCACUUACAGAUGGACCCGCGGCGCAUUAGCUAGUUGGUGAGGUAACGGCUCACCAAGGCAACGAUGCGUAGCCAACCUGAGAGGGUGAUCGGCCACACUGGGACUGAAACACGGCCCAAACUCCUACGGGAGGCAGCAGUAGGGAAUCUUCCGCAAUGGACGAAAGUCUGACGGAGCAACGCCGCGUGAGUGAUGAAGGUUUUCGGAUCGUAAAACUCUGUUGUUAGGGAAAAACAAGUACCGUUCGAAUAGGGCGGUACCUUGACGGUACCUAACCAGAAAGCCACGGCUAACUACGUGCCAGCAGCCGCGGUAAUACGUAGGUGGCAAGCGUUGUCCGGAAUUAUUGGGCGUAAAGCGCGCGCAGGCGGUUUCUUAAGUCUGAUGUGAAAGCCCCCGGCUCAACCGGGGAGGGUCAUUGGAAACUGGGGAACUUGAGUGCAGAAGAGGAGAGUGGAAUUCCACGUGUAGCGGUGAAAUGCGUAGAGAUGUGGAGAAACACCAGUGGCGAAGGCGACUCUCUGGUCUGUAACUGACGCUGAGGCGCGAAAGCGUGGGGAGCGAACAGGAUUAGAUACCCUGGUAGUCCACGCCGUAAACGAUGAGUGCUAAGUGUUAGAGGGUUUCCGCCCUUUAGUGCUGCAGCAAACGCAUUAAGCACUCCGCCUGGGGAGUACGGUCGCAAGACUGAAACUCAAA